CCCCCUUGGCUUCUCGUGCUGGUAGCGGACGGCUGCUCUGCUCUGCGCGCGCACGGCAUGUGCUCGAGAGAAUCCCUCAGAGGCUUGCUUACCACCAUGCGUGGCUCUGUUUAGGAUCUUGGCUUCGUAUCUGUGCACUGCUGGUACUAGUAACGUCGCCCUCGCAUGGGCACGAGCUUGUUUAUGUUGUAGUACGAGCAGUACUGUUCUGGCGGUUCGUGAUUCGGAGCUACGGCUUUCUAAUGGCGUCAGCUGCCUUUUUUUUGGGGUUUCGCGUGGCCAUACAGGAGAAAGGAGCAGACUUGAGCGGCCGCAAAGGUGUGAUUAGGAGAGAGAGUGAGACUGGGAGGGGGAGGGGACGGUGUUUAGGCUAGUCAUAGUGGGAGUAACAUAGGUAGUAACAUAGAUGCCACAUAAGCAAAAAUGUUGAUGUGGCAAGUAGUUAAUGAGGAGAGAGGCAAAUAGAGUAACCUAAUAUGUUACCAUCACAUAGCGCUUUUCAAUGCAAAAUGAGUCUACAAGACAAUAAAUGAACAUGUGUAUGUUACUACACAUAUGACACUUCCCACUAUAAGGGUGGUAACAUAGAGUAGUAAGUAUGCAUGUUACUACUCUAAGUUACUCCCCACUAUGACCAGCCUUAUGGUGCCAAAUCCAGGCGAAAGCAGCGCAUGACUGAUGCCGUAGCUACAAGUUCCAAGUGAAAUGAUGCGUGCGUAGACAAUGAAAGGGUCGUCGGGUCGUCUUUCCGGCUUCUACUGCCGUGACUGAAAAAGGCAUACAAAUAGGAAAAUUAUAUUACACAAUGAUUUUAUAUGAUUUUAAUGUAAUCAUAAGUUUUUUGUGUUCCUUUCUUUUCCGCAAAUAUGGAAAGCUUGUGUGUCAUUCAUUGAUAGAAGGAAACGUAAAGAGUACAUAAAAAGAUACAACACAUGGCACGAACGCAUACAUGAAAGGUGUGUGCAUGAUACUCGGAGCAGAGAGACAAGGGGUGCUCAACCCGAACAAAGAAGAAAAAACACACAGCUAAACCCACCGAGCCUAGGACUAAUGGG
rnacentral:lncRNA from 1 species